CCUACGGGGUGCUGCAGUGAGGAAUAUUGGUCACUGGGCGGAAGCCUGAACCAGCCAAGUAGCGUGCGGGAUGAAGGACCUACGGGUCGUAAACCGCUUUUGCACGGGGAUAACACUCUCCUCUUGUGGAGUUCUGCAGGUACCGUUCGAAUAAGGGCCGGCAAAUUCCGUGCCAGCAGCCGCGGUAAUACGGAAGGCCCGAGCGUAUCCGGAUUCAUUGGGCUAAAAGGGAGCGUAGGCGGGCGUUCAAGUCAGCUGUAAAAUCGCGCGGCUCAACCGCGCCCCGAAGUGGAAACUGGAGACCUUGAGUUCACAACAGGCAGGCGGAAUUCGUGGUGUAGCGGUGAAAUGCAUAGAUAUCACGAGGAACCCCGAUUGCGAAGGCAGCCUGCCGGGGUGCGACUGACGCUGAGGCUCGAAGGUGCGGGUAUCAAACAGGAUUAGAUACCCUGGUAGUC
rnacentral:rRNA from 1 species